AAGAGGGUGAAACAGUCAAAGGGAAAUAGAAAUAAGAAGCUGGAAUUUCUGAACAGCUUUGUUACUCCACAGUUUUGAGGCGACUUUUCGAAGUUGAGCGAAAAAGGGAAUUGAUACACACUCCAUAGGAGCUUACACACAUAAAGGCGAAAGGUGAACAUGGAACUACAUAGAGAGCAUGGCUAGUUGUGGA